GGGCCGAUGGAGAAAUUGGGUAUACUCAUGGCACUUAAAAUGCCACGCUUUUAGCAUGAGGGUUCGAAUCCCUCUCGGCCCA
rnacentral:tRNA from 1 species